CGAGUGUGGACACCCGGGGAGGUCACUCUCCCCAGGCUCUGUCCUGGUGGCUCAGGAGCACAGGGCGCCCACCGCCCAGUGAUGUGCGCUGGAGGUGGAGCUGGGCUUGAGUCUCACCUGUAUAUUCCUAGGACUUCCCAGAGCCCCGUGGACGGUGAUGACGGGGGAGACAAACCAGGCAGGAAACAGUC